GGGUCAGUAGGUUGGUCGUGCCACCGGUACGUACUGGUCUCACUGAUUCCUCCUUCCUGAAGAACCGUAAUGACAUUAAUUUGGUGUUGCGGGGAAACAGGACUGUUACUUUGAAUAAAUUAGAGUGUUUAAAGCAAGCUAACGCUCGAAUACAUUAGCAUGGGAUAAUGAAAUAGGACGAUCGAUCCUAUUUUGUUGGUUUCUAGGAUUGACGUA
rnacentral:rRNA from 1 species